rnacentral:rRNA from 1 species
UGGCGGACGGGUGAGUAACGCGUGGGUAACCUGCCUCACACAGGGGGAUAACAGUUGGAAACGACCGCUAAUACCGCAUAACCCGCUGGUAUCGCAUGAUACUGACGGAAAAGAUUUAUCGGUGUGAGAUGGACCCGCGUCUGAUUAGCCAGUUGGCAGGGUAACGGCCUACCAAAGCGACGAUCAGUAGCCGGCCUGAGAGGGUGAACGGCCACAUUGGGACUGAGACACGGCCCAAACUCCUACGGAAGGCAGCAG